GUUCAACGACAAAGUUUGCACAUCACUAGCGUGCAGAAUCUUCGAGAAACGACACAUUAUUAAUAUAAAAGGACAAGUUCAGUUUGUCCAACUCUCUUUCGUGUAACAUCUCUCGAGCUGCAAAGCAAGGUGAUUUUGUUCAUUGACAUUUACCAAAGUCAGUUUCAUUAAUCCUUGGUGACGUGUGUAAAACCAGGGUCCUUAUAACUGGUACAAAAUAUGUAUCCAGUAGGGUGCGGAGCAUGACCUUCUGAUUACCUUCGGAAUCCCAUAGCACCUUCCGAUAUGGACGCUGCCAGAAGCGGGGAGCUCUAGCAAGUCGGUCCAAGGAAGGCUGCUUGACUUCGGUAGACAUAGGACACACCCGCAUUCCCAGCCUCGCUCGCAUACAGCAACCCCGGUUACUGGGAAGUGAUCCUGGUGAAACGUAUUGUUUCUUUUAUUUCUAUUAAAACUUUCUCGAGUGUUCGGUCUAUCUACCGACACACCGUCUUUAUUAAUUUCAAUAAUGUAGCUGUUUGAGCCUCUCACUAGUAUCUAAUAACUAUUAUUGUAAAUUAAACUUAUUUUAUACUUGUAUAUCUGUGUCCAAUAAACACAAUAUUGUUAAUUGUAA